AUUGAACGCUGGCGGCAUGCCUUACACAUGCAAGUCGAACGGUAACGCGGGGCAACCUGGCGACGAGUGGCGAACGGGUGAGUAAAGCAUCGGAACGUGCCCAGUAGCGGGGGAUAGCCCGGCGAAAGCCGGAUUAAUACCGCAUACGACCUAUUGGGGAAAGGGGGGGAUCGCAAGACCUCCUCCUGUUGGAGCGGCCUAUGUCAGAGUAGGUAGUUGGUGGGGUAAAGGCCUACCAAGCCGACGAUCUGUAGCUGGUCUGGGAGGACGACCAGCCACACUGGGACUGAGACACGGCCCAGACUCCUACGGGAGGCAGCAGUGGGGAAUUUUGGACAAUGGGCGCAAGCCUGAUCCAGCCAUGCCGCGUGCGGGAAGAAGGCCUUCGGGUUGUAAACCGCUUUUGUCAGGGAAGAAAUCCUUUGGGUUAAUACCUCGGGGGGAUGACGGUACCUGAAGAAUAAGCACCGGCUAACUACGUGCCAGCCGCCGCGGUAA
rnacentral:rRNA from 1 species